rfam:Oryza meridionalis cultivar OR44 (W2112) chromosome 2, whole genome shotgun sequence.
AAUAAGUUUUUACACCAUUCAUAUAUUUAACGUUUGAUCCUUCGUCUUAUUUAAAAACUUUUAAUAAUUAAUAUUUUUAUUAUUAUUAGAUAAUAAAACACAAAUAGAACUUUAUGUGCAACUAACUUUUUUUAUUUUUUUUUAUAAAUCUUUUAAAUAAGAUGGACGAUCAAAUGUUGGACACGGAUUUCCACGACUACACUUAUU